CACAACAUCUUUGUUUGUAUGUGGUGCUGAGGAUCGAACCCAGGCCGCACGCAUGCCAGGCGAGCGCGCUACCGCUUGAGCCGCAUCCCCAGCCCCUACAUCCACGUUUUUACAUACUGCCAUACUAGUGUCCAUUGUAUUCUGCUGCCUUUUCAUAAACUGCAUAUGUUGAGAGAAGACAGAGUAGGCAUGGGAAAAGUCUUAGCUGAGCUAGUUAUCCGUCAAGCAUGUUGACUGGUUGAACCAGUAGGAUUCCGACACUUGUUACAUGGACAAUAGAGGCACAGCCUGCCUAGUGUCAGCUGCCCGAGUCUCUUUUCCCACAAGACAACACCAAACCUGAAGGAGUCAGAUGAUCAGCAGCAUGUGUGGUGGGCACUCUGUUGUUGAGGAGCUGUUUCCAUACUAAAGCUAAACACUUUUCUUAGCCUGUUUCCUUACUAAAGCUAAACACUUAUCCUGCAGCUGUGGUAAAUCUCAGACCUCAUUGGAAGCCAGGAGUGUGGAUGAGAAACUGCCUCCCAGCAGCCUCCCACAAACUAGGGAGGUGGGCGAGGUACAGCCUGGUAGUAGAAUCAUGCCAUAUCUGGAGGUCAGAGGCAGUCUGCCCAGGUUUAAGCCAGCCUGUGCUGAGCCUGACCUGUGUGACCUCUGUGGAGCUCAUACAGUGCUGCAAGGCACUAGCAUAAAGCCAUUUUCUACCUUAUCACCGUGGUGAGAGAGAAAUGACAGCAUAAAUCAGUACAAAAGCAUGGAAGAAAAGUGUCCCAAGUGGUGGUUUCAAGCAUCUGGAAAGCCAUGUUUUUCUGUUUUUAGGAUAAGC
rnacentral:lncRNA from 1 species